rnacentral:rRNA from 1 species
GCAGCAGGCACGCAAAUUACCCACUCCCGGCACGGGGAGGUAGUGACAAAAAAUAACGAUACGGGACUCAUUUGAGGCCCCGUAAUCGGAAUGAGUACACUUUAAAUCCUUUAACAAGGAUCCAUUGGAGGGCAAGUUCGGUGCCAGCAGCCGCGGUAAUUCCGACUCCAAUAGCGUAUAUUAAAGUUGUUGCGGUUAAAAAGCUCGUAGUUGGUUCUGCGUGCCACGCUGUCGGUUCACCGCCUGCCGGUGCUACUGGCAUGCCGUGGCAUGUCCUGUCGGUGGGUGCCCGGGGCCCCGUGCGGGCGGCAGGAGGCCGGGUUCGCUCGCGUUCCUCUCUGCACGUCGGCGGGCCAACUCCGGCUCCCUACUAUCCUACCUAGGUGCUCUUCACCGAGUGUCGAGGUAGGCCGACACGUUUACUUUGAACAAAUCAGAGUGCUCAAAGCAGGCUGAAUAAUUCUGCCUGAAUGAUGGCGCAUGGAAUAAUAAAACAGGACCUUGGUUCUAUUUUGUUGGUUCUUAAGAUCACAAGGUAAUGAUCAAUACGGACAGGCGGGGGCAUUCGUAUUGCGGGGUUAGAGGUGAAAUUCUUGGAUCCUCGCAAGACGACCGAGAGCGAAAGCAUUUGCCAAGUAUGUCUCGAUUGAUCAAGAACGAAAGUUAGAGGUUCGAAGGCGAUCAGAUACCGCCCUAGUUCUAACCAUAAACGAUGCCAGCCAGCGAUCCGCCGAUGUUCCUCCGAUGACUCGGCGGGGAGCUUUUCCCCGGGAAACCAAAGCUUUUGGGUUCCGGGGGAAGUAUGGUUGCAAAGCUGAAACUUAAAGGAAUUGACGGAAGGGCACCACCAGGAGUGGAGCCUGCGGCUUAAUUUGACUCAACACGGGAAACCUCACCAGGUCAGGACAUUGUCAGGAUUGACAGAUUGAUAGCUCCUUCUUGAUUCARUGGGUAGUGGUGCAUGGCCGUUCUUAG